AUUUAUAUAAUAUAUUUAGUAUAUUUGACUUCCAAUCAAAAAGUUUAAAUUUCUUUAAUAUAAAUA
rnacentral:tRNA from 1 species